GCCUCGACGGCAGCUCGGACCGGUCCGUGCCCGCCUGCUCUGCCCCCUCCGCCGCAGCUGGUGCCCGGGCACUGCUCCGAGUCCCGGUGGGCUCCUGCCUCCAGCCCGCCGGCCCUGCGGGGCAGCACCGGGCCGGUACCUGCCGCUGGCUGCGUCCGUUGGGCACCGUGCGGCCUCCGGAGCUCCUGGCCUCGCACCUCGCCUCGUGCCUUACGCCCGUGUAGGGGUGAAAGUUAACACAGGUGUCCUAAACCAAAACAUACUAAAAGAGUGUGCAUCUACAGAACGAAAUUUACUGUGUACUUGAAUAGUCAAAGUGUAGCUGGUAUUGUGAAGUGCAGGGCCUUCCUAAGGACCUUCCAGACUUGUCCUGGACACUCAGUAGUGGGUGAGGCCUGCAUUUGUUCCCCAAUCAGUUGCCUUUGUUUGGGUUUUUUUUUACAAGCCUUGCUCCCAAAGGUGGUUGAUGUUUUUUUUUCAGAAGCCCAGUGUCUUUCUGGGUACGUCUCCAUCCCUGUUCUGUCAGAGCACAGGUAUGAAGUUACUCUCAGCAUGUGGAGGUUUAGCAGCUGCUUUGAGCUUCACAGACAUAGAAUAUUUUUCUAGGUUUAGGAAUUCACAGUUCAGUCUCCUCCAUCUGACAUGAAAUUCUGUGAUAGCAAACAGCUCGAUGCCUGGCACCAGCACUAGGGUGAAAGGCAUUUUCCGCUUCUGACAGGAAAACUAUGAGGGGUGGAAAAAUCACUGCUUGAUCUUCUUGCCCCUACCAUUUUAAGGGUGUACAGAUGGUAAAAUAAGGCCAGCAUGCAUUUUUCAUUAUUAAGAGCAGCUCAACUGAAAAUACUACUUAAUGUUUACAGUCGUGUACUCCAUCUUCUUUAUCACAAAAUCACUGUUUCCUGACAGUAAAUAUAUCUUCCCCUGGCAAUGUGUCUUUCUAUUCUAUGUGUGUACCCAUACUGUGGGAAUUGUGGUGUUAAAGCACCUGUUGGAGCUCUGCUGCAACACCACAGCUAGACGGGCCCAAACUGCAGAACCGGGAAAUGAACAGAUUUAUUUUGUUUUAAAGUAGGUGGGGUAAAAUUCAGAUUGUGUUUUUCUUAGCAACUAGUGUCAUAGUAGCAGCCAGUCGUCCUUAUAAGGUAGAUCCAGUACAAAUAUCCAGCCUGCCUUUUCCCAGGAUAAUUAACAACUUUAACAGAAAGAGCUGGGAAAGUAGAUUAGGCAAAAGCUUUGGGCCAGGAAGAGGUGUAGUGACUUACAGAAGCAAGUGCAGGAAGCCUGCUACAGGUCAGUAAUUGCAGCUCAUCCUGUUAUGCCUUAAAAAUCACUGCCAUAAAUAGGAUUAUUUUCACAUUGUGAUGCUAUAGGUUCAUUUGGGUUUAUGAAUGGAAAAUUAUCCCUAAAGAACAAU